UACGUAGGAGGCGAGCGUUGUCCGGAGUUACUGGGCGUAAAGGGUGCGCAGGCGGCGUCACGCGUGGAUAGUUGAAAUCUCCUGGCUUACCUGGGAGGGUGGUAUCCAGACGGUGGCGCUUGAGGGUCGGAGAGGGGCGUGGAAUUCCGGGUGGAGCGGUGAAAUGCGUAGAGAUCCGGAGGAACACCGGUGGCGAAGGCGGCAUCCUGGACCAUUACUGACACUGAAAAGCGAAAGCCAGGGGAGCAAACGGG
rnacentral:rRNA from 1 species